GUGUUCGUAGAAAGGAGAGAUGGUUGGCACCUCCCCAGACAGGGACGGGAACAGCCUUCGGGCUUAUCCACACACAUCAGGUUACGGCUACCCACUUCUAUGUUCUUAUUAUAACCCAAUUUUUAU